GACGAACGCUGGCGGCGUGCUUAACACAUGCAAGUCGAACGGCAACGCCCUGCUUUUUUGCGCUUCUCGAGUGGCGAACGGGUGCGUAACACGUGAGUAACCUACCCUUCACUUUGGGAUAACUUCAGGAAACUAGGGCUACUACCGGAUAGGAGCUCCUGCUGCGUGGUGAGCGUUGGAACGUUUCGGCGGUUGGGGAUGGACUCGCGGCUUAUCAGCUUGUUGGUUGGGUAGUGGCUUACCAAGCCUUUGACGGGUAGCCGGCAUGAGAGGGUGAACGGCCACAUUGGGACUGAGAGACGGCCCAGACGCGUAUGGGAGGCAGCAGGGGGGAAUAUGGCACAAUGGGCGGAAGCCUGAUGCAGCAACGUCGCGUGUGGGAUGACGGCCUUCGGGUUGUAAACCGCUUUCGCCUGUGACGAAGCGGGAGUGACGGUAACGGGUAAAGAAGCACCGGCUAACUACGUG
rnacentral:rRNA from 1 species